CGCAUUCCGUACGAUCGCCGAAGUUAAGCAACGUUGAGCUUGGUCAGUAACUAGAUGGGCGACCGCUUGUGAGUACCAAGUGUUA